AUUAGAGUAAAUAUUAGUAAAUGAAUUAUUCCAAAGCUAAAAUCAAAAUAGUUUCAUCAAAUUGCUCUCUCUCUCUGAAACGAAGCCUCAUCGUAGUUGUUACGGGUGAAAACCAUAACUAACAAUUUCUAGGGUUUAUCAUUUUGAAUCGCUUUCUCUCUUCUCAAUCAAACGCACCGUUAGGGUUUUUCUCAAUUCGUUGUUGUUGCUGCUGCUUUUUACAAUGGGUGCGGAAAUUCAACAAGAUGGAUUGAAGAAGAAACUCGACUAUCUUUCACUCGUCUCCAAGGUAUGUACUGAGUUAGAAUCUCACACCGGUACCGGCGACAAGGUUCUCGCCGAGUUUAUUACCGACUUAGGUCAGUCGUCGGAGUCCGUUGAAGAAUUCGAUUCGAAAUUGAAAGAAAACGGUGCCGAGAUGCCGGAUUAUUUCGUUCGAACUCUUCUUACCAUUAUUCAUGCUAUUCUUCCUCCUAAACCUAGGAAGGAGAAGGAGAAUCAGAAAGAGAACGCUACCUCCAAGACUAAGUUUAAGGCGUUGGCGAUUUCGGAUGAUAGGGAUCGGGCGAAAGAGCUUAGGGACGAGAUUGAAGCGGAGGCUAGAGAAAAACAGAAGCAGAUGGAGCCGGAAAGGUAUGAAAAAGGUAGGGAUGAUGAUGAUGAUGGUUACGGAGAUAGGCGCAGAGAUAGAGAGAGAUAUGAUAGAGAUGAUAAAAGGGAUUAUAGAAGGGGCAAUGAUAGAGAAAGAGGAAGAGACAGAGAUGAUAGAAGGGGGAAUGAUAGAGGCAGAGAUCGGUAUGAAAGAGAUGAUAGAAGGGGGAAUGAUAGAGACAGGGAUAGGUACGAAAGAGAUGAUAAAAGGGGGAAUGAUAGAGAUAGAGAUAGAGAUAGGUAUGGAAGAGAUGAUAAAAGGGGGAAUGAUAAGGAUAAAUAUGAGAGGAGGAGGAGAGAUGAGUAUGAACAAGGAAGGGAUGAGAAUGAUGAUGAGAAAGGUCCUAAAGAAAGAGAUUCGAGGGGUGAUGGUUCCGGUGAACCUGAAUUGUAUAUGGUUUAUAAAGGAAGAAUUUCCCGGGUGAUGGAUACGGGGUGUUUUGUUCAGCUGGAUGAUUUAAGAGGGAAGGAGGGUUUGGUUCAUGUUUCUCAGAUGGCUACUAGGAAGAUUGUGAAUGCUAAGGAAGUUGUUAAAAGGGAUCAGCAGGUUUAUGUCAAGGUCAUUUCAGUUUCCGGUUCCAAAUUGAGUCUUUCCAUGAGGGAUGUUGAUCAGCAUACUGGGAAGGAUCUUCUUCCGUUGAAGAAGACCUCAGAGGAGGAAACUUUUAGGACAAAUCCACAAGAUUCGAAAGAUGGUCCGGUGACUAGGACAGGGCUUUCUGGGAUCAGGAUUGUGGAGGAGGAUGAUAUUGGUUCUACGCGCAGGCCGCUAAAGAGAAUGAGCUCUCCUGAGAUAUGGGAAGCAAAACAGUUGAUUGCUUCAGGGGUUUUGAGUGUUUCAGAGUAUCCCACUUAUGAUGAUGAGGGAGAUGGAGUUAUGUACCAAGAGGAAGGCGCUGAGGAAGAACUUGAGAUUGAGAUGAAUGAUGAUGAACCUGCCUUCUUGCAAGGGCAGAGCAGGUACUCAAUGGAUAUGUCUCCUGUCAAGAUCUUUAAGAAUCCAGAAGGUUCUCUGGGUCGUGCUGCGGCGCUCCAAUCUGCACUUAUAAAGGAGCGUAGGGAAGUAAGAGAACAGCAGCAGCGUACCAUGCUAGAUUCAAUUCCAAAGGAUCUCAAUCGUCCUUGGGAGGACCCAAUGCCCGAGUCCGGUGAAAGGCAUCUUGCCCAAGAGUUGAGGGGUGUUGGCCUAUCGGCCUACGAUAUGCCAGAAUGGAAGAAAGAUGCCUAUGGGAAAACCAUUACUUUUGGGCAAAGGUCAAAGCUUUCUAUUCAGGAACAGAGGCAAAGUUUGCCAAUUUACAAGUUAAAAAAAGAAUUGAUUCAGGCUGUUCUAGAUAAUCAGGUCUUGGUUGUGAUUGGUGAAACCGGUUCUGGGAAGACUACUCAGGUAACACAGUAUCUUGCUGAAGCAGGUUACACCACCAGAGGUAAAAUUGGAUGUACUCAACCCCGUAGAGUGGCUGCAAUGUCCGUCGCCAAGAGAGUUGCAGAAGAGUUUGGGUGUAGAUUAGGAGAGGAAGUUGGUUAUGCCAUUCGGUUUGAGGAUUGCACCGGACCUGAUACUGUAAUCAAGUACAUGACUGAUGGUAUGCUUCUUAGGGAAAUUUUGGUUGAUGAGAAUCUGUCACAGUAUAGUGUUAUAAUGCUUGAUGAAGCCCAUGAGAGAACUAUUCACACUGAUGUUCUUUUCGGACUGCUCAAGCAGCUGGUGAAACGGAGACCUGAGUUGCGAUUGAUUGUCACAUCUGCUACUCUUGAUGCUGAAAAGUUUUCAGGAUAUUUCUUUAACUGUAACAUCUUCACAAUUCCUGGGAGAACUUUUCCUGUAGAGAUACUUUAUACCAAACAGCCAGAAAGCGAUUACUUGGAUGCGUCUUUGAUCACUGUUCUACAGAUCCACUUGACAGAACCUGAAGGAGACAUUCUUCUCUUCUUAACUGGUCAGGAGGAGAUUGAUUUUGCUUGUCAGUCUCUCUACGAGAGAAUGAAGGGAUUAGGUAAGAAUGUUCCAGAGCUGAUCAUUUUGCCUGUUUAUAGUGCCCUUCCUAGUGAAAUGCAAUCUAGGAUAUUUGACCCCGCUCCUCCUGGGAAAAGGAAAGUGGUUGUGGCUACAAACAUUGCUGAAGCUUCUUUGACUAUUGAUGGGAUAUUUUAUGUUAUUGAUCCGGGGUUCGCUAAGCAAAAUGUUUAUAACCCGAAGCAAGGUCUUGAUUCCUUGGUGAUAACUCCAAUAUCACAAGCCUCAGCCAAACAAAGAGCUGGACGUGCAGGGCGUACUGGACCUGGAAAAUGCUAUCGCCUCUAUACUGAGAGUGCAUAUAGGAAUGAGAUGUCACCUACUUCUGUUCCAGAGAUUCAAAGGAUAAAUUUGGGCAUGACUACUCUUAGCAUGAAAGCCAUGGGCAUAAAUGAUCUUCUGUCAUUUGAUUUUAUGGACCCACCAUCACCCCAAGCACUUAUUUCUGCCAUGGAGCAGCUUUACAGUCUUGGAGCAUUGGAUGAAGAGGGCCUACUAACCAAAUUGGGGAGAAAAAUGGCCGAAUUUCCUCUGGAUCCACCACUGUCCAAGAUGCUACUUGCCAGUGUUGACCUUGGAUGCAGUGAUGAGAUAUUAACCAUAAUUGCCAUGAUCCAGACUGGCAACAUUUUUUACAGGCCCAGGGAGAAACAGGCCCAAGCAGAUCAGAAAAGGGCAAGGUUUUUUCAGCCAGAGGGUGACCAUCUUACAUUACUUGCUGUUUAUGAAUCCUGGAAAAAUAAAAACUUUUCUGGACCCUGGUGUUUUGAGAAUUUUGUUCAAUCUCGUUCGUUGAGAAGAGCCCAGGAUGUAAGGAAACAACUUCUCACCAUCAUGGAUAAGUACAAAUUGGAUGUUGUGAGCGCUGGAAAAAACUUCACCAAGAUUCGGAAGGCUAUCACUGCCGGGUUCUUUUUUCAUGCCGCUAGAAAGGACCCCCAAGAAGGUUACAGAACACUAGUUGAGAAUCAGCCUGUAUAUAUCCAUCCAAGUUCAGCUUUGUUCCAGAGGCAGCCAGACUGGGUCAUAUACCAUGAGCUAGUAAUGACAACUAAGGAAUACAUGCGCGAGGUCACAGUUAUAGACCCCAAGUGGCUUGUUGAAUUGGCCCCUAGAUUCUUUAAAGUGGCAGAUCCUACAAAGAUGAGCAAACGAAAGCGUCAAGAGCGUAUUGAACCACUUUAUGAUAGAUACCACGAGCCAAAUUCAUGGCGUUUGAGUAAACGCCGUGCAUGAUAUGCUUUCUCAGUUUGUCUUAAUGCAAGGUUGUGGAUUCAAUUGUAUGUUGGAUUUAAUAUUAAAUGGUUUUCAUUUAUGGAAGCUAAAUUUAAUGGAAAAAAUCAAUGCUGGUAUGAAAUAGUGGUACCAGAGUGAAAUGUGGUGAUGAACUGUUAUUUCAUGCAACAGAGUUUUCAUGUUGAGAAAACAAACAUUUUAUGGUUGCUAAUUGAUUUUACUGUCUGUGACUUUAUUCUAAAUCCAGGCUAAGCUUCUUAGCUGCAGUUCCCUAAGAUCUUGACCUCUGUAAUGAAUAUAGAGAAAAGUAUUGACCUGUGAAAUUCAUAAAUUAAAAGUAUAUGAUAUAGCAUGUAAAACGACAAACAUUUUUUAAAUCCAAGUAGCUAUGGCUACCAAUUUUAGUC